AUGGCAUCAAACGUAUUUUUACUAUUCACAAUGAUGUCAAUAAUUUGGCUAUCAGCAUUGUGGUUUGACAUUAAUCGUCAACCCCGAUUAGGCCAUCACUGGUACGUCUACAAGCUUGUGAUGCUUACAAAUUUGAAUUUUGUGCUUUGCGUAUUUUACUCGGUGAUGAUAUUGUUGGGAUAUAAGAGUGAAAAGUUACAAAAAAUUUCAGACUUCAUGCAUUUUACUUCAAUAUUUCCAGUUGGAAUGUUCGAUUCACAAUACAGUGCGUGCAUGUUCUAUAUGCCACCCCCUAAAUUUUCGGUAUAGCAGUUUCUGUGCGAUUUGAUCACUUGUGGAUUGUUCUGGGGACUUUAUGCCAUUAAUCCUGCUCUAGUUAUGCCGGAUUGGAUAGCCAAGCUGAUUCCUAGUUGGUUAAAUCACAUAACUCAUACAUACCCAAUAAUUUUCAUUAUUUUGGAUAGUUACUUUCAUAAAAGGACACCACCAAAAACCAUAGCGUCACUAAUUUUUUCUGCAGCGUUAGUGUUUGUGUAUUUCAUGAUAAUUUGUUAUGUGAGAUUCUUUGACGGAUAUUGGCUUUAUCCGAUACUCUCCCUGUUUGCGUUUGAACAUUUUGUUAUUAGUUACAUUAUUGGAUUUCUAGGAUUUUUCAUGUUGAUAAAGGCGGCUGUGAGAUUGAAUAAACUUUUUCAUCAAAAAGACGAUAUUGGAUCAAAGCUUCCAUCUAAUAUGAAUAAAAAGAAGAAAUUCUGA
rnacentral:misc_RNA from 1 species